AUAGGCUCCUCGACAACAAGAUGUCAAACAAUGUGGUUACUAUGUGAUGCGAUUUAUGAGACAAAUUGUUGAAGAAGUUGAAAUUAUCGAAAGAGAUUCACUACGAUCUAUAUUCACACAAGCAGAGUAUUCUCGAGAAGAAAUUGAUGAGGUGCGAUCGGAGUUGGCAGAAUGUAUACAAGAUCAUAUUUAUGAGUAGUUUUGCUUUCAUUGUCCACAGAGAAAUAGUAACAAGAUGUGUUUAUUACAACUAUUUGAACUUGGCGUCAUGGAUCUUAUUCAACCAUUACUCACAAGGUGGAUACAGGACAGUCGAGAUCAGUACACUAAGGAGCGUCUGGAUUCAGUAAUUGAUCAGUACACUAAGCGUCUGGAUUCAGUAACUACUGUACUGUUUUGAGUAAACAGAUUGUUAGCUACUUCUUCAG